UGGGGAAUAUUGCACAAUGGGCGAAAGCCUGAUGCAGCAACGCCGCGUGGGGGAUGACGGCCUUCGGGUUGUAAACCUCUUUUAGUAGGGAAGAAGGACUUCGGUUUGACGGUACCUGCAGAAAAAGCACCGGCUAACUACGUGCCAGCAGCCGCGGUAAUACGUAGGGUGCAAGCGUUGUCCGGAAUUAUUGGGCGUAAAGAGCUCGUAGGCGGUUUGUCGCGUCUGCUGUGAAAACCCGAGGCUCAACCUCGGGCCUGCAGUGGGUACGGGCAGACUAGAGUGCGGUAGGGGAGAAUGGAAUUCCUGGUGUAGCGGUGGAAUGCGCAGAUAUCAGGAGGAACACCGAUGGCGAAGGCAGUUCUCUGGGCCGUUACUGACGCUGAGGAGCGAAAGCGUGGGGAGCGAACAGG
rnacentral:rRNA from 1 species